rnacentral:misc_RNA from 1 species
UAAUAAGUGUUUUAUGGCACUUCUUAAAUCCAUAUCCACCUUGUGUGCAAUGUCAGUCGAUCUUCUUUCAUGGAAGAGUGACCAAACAUCAACCUUUAUUUUUUAACUCGUUGUCUGAAAAAUAUUAUGAAUAAACAAUUCAAAUA